UACGUAGGUGGCAAGCGUUGUCCGGAAUUAUUGGGCGUAAAGCGCGCGCAGGCGGCCUUUUAAGUCUGAUGUGAAAGCCCACGGCUCAACCGUGGAGGUCAUUGGAAACUGGGGGACUUGAGUGCAGAAGAGGAAAGCGGAAUUCCACGUGUAGCGGUGAAAUGCGUAGAGAUGUGGAGGAACACCAGUGGCGAAGGCGGCUUUCUGGUCUGUAACUGACGCUGAUGCACGAAAGCGUGGGUAGCAAACAGG
rnacentral:rRNA from 1 species